GCCCCCUUAGCUCAGCGGACAGAGCGAGCGCCUUCUAAGCGCGAGGUCGCAGGUUCGAUUCCUGCAGGGGGCG
rnacentral:tRNA from 1 species